UUCAAUUUUCAAGGGCGAUACAGACCACCUCGACUUCGAGCGGAAGACAUGGUUUAGGGAUGCAACUCAAAGCACCUGUUUGUUUAGAGGGAGUUUCUGCGGAGACUAUUUUUAGGGCAUUUGGGGACCGUAAAGACAUGUAUUCAGAGCCAAGCUAAUCUUUGUGCAAGUCAGAUACUAGUCCACACUUGCAAGCAAUGUGCCAUUUCCUCAUCUAAUGGUUAUGUUCUAUGAAGGCUUGAAAGAUUGAAUAGAGUAUGGGAAGCAAAAAUAGAUAUGCAAUCCAAAUUUCCAUAUUGGUAGUUCUGUUUGGGGGACACUCAUACUAGGAGGAUUGGCUAGUGGUGAUAUGUACCUUGCUUAUACUAUGUCUUUUAUGUCUUGUAUAGUUGGAUUCAGAAAUUUUUUGUAGGGUACAAUGGGUGGUUGGAUGCACAGGGGAUGUUCUGAAAGCAAAUCCAGCUUUAGCUCUUACCUUAAUGGCUGCACUACAGAAUUUCCCAGAAGGAUUGAGCAACACACGAGAAAUUUCAGUAGAGAAAAAGGGAUUACCUUUACGAAGGGGAUGCAUGAAAAACUUGUACUUAAUCUCUUUCCCAUCCGAUCUUGUCUGUUGGACAGAUUGGGGAAUUUUGUUGUAUCCAAUUAAAUAAUUUGAACGAGAUUUUAAUGA